rnacentral:tRNA from 1 species
UCCUGGCUGGCUCAGUCGGCAGAGCAUGCAACUCUUGAUCUCAGGGUUGUGGGUUCGAGCCCCACGUUGUGGG